rnacentral:rRNA from 1 species
GAUGAACGCUAGCGGCAGGCUUAACACAUGCAAGUCGAGGGGUAACAGGAGGUGCUUGCACUUCGCUGACGACCGGCGCACGGGUGCGUAACGCGUAUACAAUUUGCCUUAUACAGGGGGAUAGCCUUUAGAAAUGAAGAUUAAUACCCCAUAGUACAUUAGAAUCGCCUGAUUUUAAUGUUAAAGAUUUAUCGGUAUAAGAUGAGUAUGCGUUCUAUUAGCUAGAUGGUAAGGUAACGGCUUACCAUGGCAACGAUAGAUAGGGGUCCUGAGAGGGAGAUCCCCCACACUGGUACUGAGACACGGACCAGACUCCUACGGGAGGCAGCAGUGAGGAAUAUUGGGCAAUGGAGGCAACUCUGACCCAGCCAUGCCGCGUGAAGGAAGACGGCCCUAUGGGUUGUAAACUUCUUUUAUAGAGGAAGAAACCCUCCCACGUGUGGGAGGCUGACGGUACUCUACGAAUAAGCACCGGCUAACUCCG